GGGAUGCUGAGUGGCAAAGGAUGCUGAUGGAGACUUAAGGAAGUGGCAGAUCAGUGGCUCAGGAGAGCCAAGGAUGUGUGUGUGUGUGUGUGUGUGCGUGCUCCAGUUGGAGGUUGCUCUACUUCACACUGAAUGUGCACAGAUUUGAACUUGAGCCACCCAGAAAAUUAGGUAGCAAAUCUCCCUGCAUGGUAUUUUAAGCCACCACUGACUAUUUAAAGCUAAAUGACUCUUGAAAUAAACCAGUUCAGUCUCUUCCUUUUAGAGCUGACAACUGAGGCCCCAGGAUGCAUAGUUUGCCAGAGAGGAGUUAGAAAACCAGCUCCAGAGCACAGCUUCUGCCCUUUCCUCCUAGGCUUCCACAACAGGAUUCUCAAGUUAGAAAAACAAGCAAGCAAGCAAACAAACAAACAAACAAACCAUGUUCAGCAUAAAGUCAAGAGCUCAAGAAUUUUCUUGUCAUAAUUUAUUAGAACCACACAAUAACUUGCAAAUAAUAACAGCUAUCAAGAAAGGUACCCUUCUGUGAAAGUUGCAUUUAACUAUGGAGGUCUGUCAGAGAGUGUACACUAAUCUGAGGUGGGAAACCAGGGUUCUGGUGAGGAGGAAGCAAAGCCCAGCUGUCACUGGGGGCUGGCCCGUGUCUCCACACUUCUUCCCGGACUCCUCUCCCUUACGUGCUUGGUCCCAGAUCCAGCAUCUGUCUUCACUGCUCUUUGGUCGUGGGCACAUCCUCAUUUACUUGUCAGUCUCCCUUUCUCUGUCUCAGGCCCCUGACUCCAUCUGCAAGCCCAUCCCCAUCAAACUCUCUGGCUUCAUCUUAGCCACUCAGUUGUUCCCAUCUUGUGGUUCCGAUCAUAGUCCUCUAUCUCCAUCUUGAUCCACUUCAGUCCACUGUGACCCUCUGAAUCCAAUGUGUCAUUAUCUCAGUCUCCCAAUGCCAUCCCAGCACCUUGUCCCUAUCUUAGUCCCCUGACUUACUUUGGCUCCCUGACUCAUUUUGGUCCUUCUGUCCUUGACUCAUCUCAUCCCUCUGCCCCCGUUCUACUGACCCUUCUCCAUGUCCAUCUCUGUCCCCUGCUCACAGAUGACCCAGUCUCCAUCUAAGUUGCUAGGCUUGUCCUGGCCUCUGCCCCCAUUGUGCCUCAGGCUCUUGCCUUAGGCAUGGCCGCAUUGUGGUAUCAUCUCUGUCAUUCCCUGAGAACAAGCUCUCUUUCCUGCUCCAGAAGCAGCUCCCUGCAGCCAUACAGUACCUGAGCACCUCCUCCUGAGUCUUCACUCUAGUUGCCCUUCCCCUAUCUCCCAGAUUAAUCCUGAUGGUCACUUCAGUGUCUUACUCCCCGGGGAGCAGCGUGACUACCCUGCACCAGCUUUUCCCCACCAUCCUGCUUUUUGCUGCCACAGUUGCCUGCUGUAGUUCUGCAGCAGACCCAGUGUCACUGGGAUCUCCUGCUAACACUUGUCUGUGUUGAUCCCAUCCAGUCCUUGCAACAACCCCAUGAGCUUUGAAGUAGAGAAUCUCAGGUCAGAGCUAUCAAACUCAUUGUCAGGGACCCACUGGCAGAAUGUCGUAGAGCACGGACUCACCUUUGGCUGAUGUGACUGCACUGUCCUGUUGAUGCAAGGGUUAUCUGAAGCUCAUCAGAUCCUAGUCCAGCAGUUACCCUUCUCUGUAGUGUGCUUGUCCUAGUUCAGCAGUCCUUCCAAGAUCUAUAGUGCCCUCUGAUGAUGAUGAUGCAGGGCUCCCCAGAUACGAUCCCCCCCCUUCCUCUAUGCGUUGUAGUGUGGCUGUGCGAGUCUGGAGUUUAUCAGUUCCCUCUGUGAUUCCGUGCCUGCUUUGCAUCAACGUUCUUGUGCCUUGGGGCCCCUGUUAGGGUCAACGCAGGUUCCUUGAACACAAGCGCCAUGACCUGUCAAUACGAUGACAGGGAUCGAUGCUAACAUUAUGAACGGUCAGGUAACACAUACCAUGGGGAUGCCCUGAUGAGGGGGGUAAUUUCUGCCCCUGGAAGGACAGAUUAGAUAGUGAGAGGGUCUCUCGUGAUACUCAAUACGUGGUAUAAAACUUAGCAGCUGCUCAUUUGGAGAAUUUCCCAUUUGACAUUUUUGGAUUGC
rnacentral:lncRNA from 1 species